UAUGGUGAUGAUAUCCGGGGUCAAACCCAUUGACUAGCUUGAAAGCAAUGCUGUCAAACGUUAACCAUCUUUCGGGGCUGAUG
rnacentral:snoRNA from 1 species